UUAGCAAUAGUCCUUAAAUGUUAACAAGAUUCCAUUUCGUGUUCACAUUUCCAGCACAUUUCUGAACUCUUUGCCUUUCCACUUAAAGAAAGAAAACUGGCCCUGAAAUAAGAAUGUCUCAGCAUUUGGUCAUAUCCUCACAGUCUGGCUCCUGAAAGGGCAGAUUUCUGAAUUUGGGCAGAAAUGCCUGGUCAUGAAGUCUCGGAGGCCAGUGAUCCCUUAGUAACCUUGCUCCCCCUACAGCCCUGGGCCUGGCCGGUGCUGUGCACCUAGUGGGAGCUAGUGCUGGGUUUCAUGUAAGGGUGAACCCAUGCAAGGGUGGAGAUGCAAGGAGUUGAGCUAACGCAGCAGGACUGGAGUGCAGCCCCCACGCUCUGAGUGGCUGUCCUUGGCUCUCCAUGCAGUGCUCCACCCGCCAGCUGCCUGGGCUUCCUCUGGGACCCUCUUCUCUCUCUUGCUUGGGAUACUUGACUGUGUUCCAGUGACUCCGUGGAACCCCACUUGGUGGGGCCUCCAGCCCUCUCCUUAGUCUUGCCAAUUUGCUGCUUAACAUACAGCAACAGUUGACUGGGGGGGGGGGGGGUUGAUGGGAGGGAGGGGGGCUGCUCACAUGUGCCAAGCGCCUCGCUCAUCUGUCCUCACAGCAGCAGCCCCGGGAGAUCAGGAUUGCUGUCAUUGCCAUUUCAUAGUGGAGGAGACUAAAGGAGGCAGCCUUUCUCCCUACUCCUGCUGCCCUAGAGAAAUGGAAGAGUGGGCAGAGGGGGAGUGAUAACCUAAGGGAAACGAACGACCUAAGCAGACACAGACGAGAGACACUGGCUGACUCCAGAAGAGAGAGAGGCAACACAAGGCUGAAAGGCCAAGCCAACAAAGGGAGAGGAACCAGAAUCUUCUGCCGGUGCUCAUGGAGUUUAUGAAUACAAGGCAUUAAAGUGCUGGCAAGAAGGAGGCCACAGCCGGCAGGCAGAGCCAUGGCGGCAGAAGAGGACCUGAGCAUCUGAAGAUUCUCACCGCAGCCCUGGUGUCCCUGGAAGAGGAGCUCCCUUCUGGAGAGGGAGGGCUGGGGACAGGGCUGCUCUCCCCCUGUGAGGGUUGACAUCGGCUGCCAGGCCCCGGGCUGAGGGUUGGGGCAGAUGGUGUUUCCUCCACGGUGUGUGUGGGCCUGGGCCCCACUGCUCAGGGAGGCAGUGGAAUCCGUCCCUCUCUGAGCAGACAGGUGGGGCAUUCACCAGAUUCCACCCUAAAGGCCGGAGCUCAGGGGAGGUGCGCGCACUGGGAAUAUAUUACUCGCAAAGGGAUGUGCUGUGGGGGGGGGGGGACUUGCCGCAGAGGGGGCUGCCUCUUGGAGGAGGCCGGGUGUCUUUAGACGUUCGCUCUCUGGCGGAAGACCGAGGCGGUUUUCCAGUAGAAGGCCUUUCCUUCCCGACACCCCCACUCCUGCCAGUGCGCGUUUUUGAAGGGGCACGGGGAAUGCAAGUGGUGCCUGAUCAUUUCAGGUGUCUGAAAGGCUGUUGGCUGCUGAGGAGCAACACAAACCCCACCUGUGGGGGGCCUCAGGGUCAGCCCCAUACUGAUAGAAGCAGGUGGUGCUUCUCGAUGGGCGCGGGCGCGGUGGCAGAGAAACCCAAGAAGUUGCAGCCGCGCCCCUCCUUGUCUGGAGUGAUGGGGGAGGGAGGAGAGGCGCAUCCUGGCUCUGCUCCCCAGCUGUCUGAGGCAGAUCGACUGGAGUCCAUCUGGCUGUCCCCCUCACCCCCCACCCCCGACCCAGGCUUGCCUCCCACCCUGGGACGUCAAUGCCAUUGGGUCCUGGCUGAGACCUUAGCGGCCUAGAUGAGGGGCAGCUAAGUCAAUGCACACCUGGGGCUGAGCUGCGUCCUGGGGUACCGGGGCCCAGGAGCACCAGGUGGACGUCCGUGGGGCUGCACUGUCUUUUCCUAGGCCCCGUGUGAUGGUGGCCACGUGCUGUUCUGGAAGUGCCAUCAAGGGCUCCCCCACCUUCUCCACACCUUGCUCUCUUGCCAGGUCCCAUCCGUUCCUCAUCACCAUCCCUGUACCAUGUUACUGCUACUUUGGAAAGGUAUUGUUGAUUAUAUAGAAGCUUGAGAGAAAUCUUUGCCUAUUUUAUAUUUUGCUUGUAUUUCUAAGCCUUCAGCCCUAGAGUCCAAGUCUUGGGGCCAAGCAUCCUUAAAAACUCUAGAACCAUGAGCCCCAGGGGCCCACAAAUCCUUAGGCCUGGGCCCUGUGGAGCUGCUCUGUCUCUGGUUGAAGGCAGGGCCUCCUUCCUGGCAGAGAGGCCUAUCCUAGCCAGGAGGAAUGAACGGUUAGGGGACUUAGGAGAAGGAUGGUGAACUUUCUUUUAAGUUCUCCUCUCAAUUCUGGCAGGAGGGCUGGGGACAAAGACCAGCCUCUUUGAUGUAGGGGCUUGGGGUGUUGAGGGGGGGGGAUUAGGAUCCUCGCAGCCUCUUGCCCUUCCCACCUGAGCGCAAAGAGUAGGCUCCUACACUCUGCGGUCUCGGGGCCGCCUCGUUCCUGCCACCUCCCUCUGCCCACAUAGCACGUUGUAUAAAUAUUUACACCCCCAGGCUGGCAGGAAUCUUUCUCUAGCCACUUCCCUGGUCUCUGGGAGAGCUCUUUCUCUCACUGAACAGCUGCAACAGAUCUGGUUGCCUUUGGUCGGACAAGGGCAGGCCCUGGUUUGGGGGCCCGUGGUCCCCACAGGGUGGAGGGUGCAUUUGGCAGGAGAAACUCAUCUUGGGAAAAGUCACAGGGCUGUGGCAAAGGUCCAUCCUCUCUCCCGCUGCCUAUGGGCGACCCUCCAACAGUUGUCUGAUCCCUGUUCUGGCUGGGAAGGUGAGUCCUGCUUCUCAAAGGAACAGCUCCCCAGGGCGGGGUUGGUCCCACUCCGGGCUGGAGGGAUAAUUCCAAAGCCAACUGGCUGGUGCUGGGACAAAAGAGAAACUUAGUUUCCUCGUGAGCACUUUACAGUUUGUGUCUGUAACCUUUAUUCUCCCCGAAGCAGCCACCUUCCCCUCCCAUCAGUGCCUGUUCAGUCUUUUGAACUGGGGGCUGGGGAGCGGAGAGGACGAGGAUAUGUCUGCCAUCUUCCCUGGUGAGCCAGGAAGCAGGAGUUUGCCAAAGAACGAGGCUGGCAUUUGUUGGGUUCCCAUGGGCCGAGCACUGUGUGAGGUACUUCCCCAUAUUCUCAUGUAAUUAUUUGAGUCAUAAGCCUAGCAGCUUGUUCAGCACGUGUCUCUCCUCUUCCUGCCCUUAGACAGCGGGCCGCACAACAGCAAGUUCCCAGACACGGGGCCCUGUGUUUCUCUGGGCCUUUCGGUUCAGUGAGUACCUCUGAGAGCCAGCCGGCAGAUACACAUCUCACCUCGCUUCCUGUGCCUCAGUUUCUCCCACAUCCGUGGGAGGUGAUUAACCUGUGUUCCAUAAAGCAUUCCAAAUUCAGACGAGAACAGGUGUUUAGAGAGCAACAUGAUGGUUUCACGUAACCCCUUUUUCUCCGUAUGGGUGUAAGCGUGUGACAGGUAUCAGGCACCGAGAAAAAUGUGUGUUCAGUGCUUGGGGGGAGGCUGAGAAGGAAGACAGGAUUCAAAAGACCUGGAUUUCGUAUACAAGAACCGCCCCCCCAACCCCAAAUGCAAAUAGCAGAGCCACAGAGGAUGGGGUAAGGGAUUGGGUAGGGGGUUCUGAUGGGGCCAGGGACAAAGGCCCCACACUUGUGCCAGAAAGCAAGCAAGCAGGUUCCAUCUCUCACUCCCACUCUCUUGGAAUGUUAGGACCCCUUCUGGAAAUGGGAGAAGAGUAGAUGUGAAAGGUACGUGGGUGAGACUGCUUGGUAUUCAGUGGGUAGAGAGCUACCCUCAGGUGAGGCGGGAGGGGGCUGGGUGGGCCUGCUGGGAGUGCACAGGGAGAAAGGUGGAAAACCACAGCUCAGAAGCCAUGCAGCCGUGAGAUGUUCCUGCUGCCUGCCUGCCUCCCCACCCCCAAAAGGUGAAACAAAACCCAAAUGAAAGCCUGACCCGGCAGAUAUUAAUACUCCAGAGCCAGGGCUGGUGUGCAAGCAGCCACCCCCCUCUUCCCCCUUGUGUUUCUAUAAGCGGCUGAAAUAAAUUUAGCGAAACAACCCCACCCAUCCGAGGGCCUAAGAUUUCAGAGCAGUGUGACUCUUUACCCUGAAAGCCCCUGUUUUUCAGAGCCAAGAGCUUUUUGUUUAGAUUCCCUUUUGGGAAUAGAAUGCUCUCAGUCUGAAAUAAUUAUUUUAUUGCGGUCAUCUUUUCCUGAUAGAUCAAUGCUUCGACACAGAAUGGCUUGCUAGAAAGCUGCAGUUUCAAGUGGCCAACUCCAUGGGGCUAAUGCCUGGUUGGAUCCACUGGGGUAUUUAUCGUCCAGUUAUUCUUCACAAUGUCUGAAUGUUCAGCCAAGUCCCUCUGCUGUCUGUCAUAAGGGCAGUGGUUAUGGCUGGAUAAGUUACUAAAGUAGAGAAUUGUUAACUGUGUGUUAGCUACCGUUGCAGGCACUGAAGGUUGAGUUGAGAGCAGAGAGACUGCUCUCAUGGAGUAUACAUCCUAGUGGGAAGGGAGAUGUCAAAAAGUUAAAUGACCAGGGGCACCUGGGUGGCUCAGUCGGUUGAGCGUCUGACUUUGGCUCAGGUCAUGACCUCACGGUCUGUGAGUCUGAGCCCCGCGUCGGGCUCUGUGCUGACAGCCUGGAGCUUGGAGCCUGCUUUGGAUUCUGUGUCACCCUCUCUCUCUGCCCACCCCCCCCCCCCACUCAUGCCCUGUCUCUCUCUGUCAAAAAUAAAUAAACAACAACAACAAAAAAGUUA